rnacentral:lncRNA from 1 species
UGACGCAUAAAGCCUAUAACAUACAUAAUGCUAAGAUGGAGGCAGGGGAAGAAAAGUCAUUCCCAGGGCAUCCCCUGCCCUCCGUUUCUCCUAGGCAUUCUCAAUCACUUCUUCACAAUGGCUUCAAAAAUUCCAUCAGCCAAACGACUAACAACUUCUUGGGGAUUGACAGGACCUGGUAGCUGGAAUGAGAUGGUGAACGGUCCCAGCGGGCCCAGAUUUUGUGUCAGCAUUUCGAAGACUAGAGAGCCCCAAUGUACUACUUUCUCACCAGUUGUUGAAAUCCCCUUUAUUACUACUGUUCCAUCAGGUUCAAUGUCACAGCUGAAGUCUCCUGCACUCAUAAAGUAAUAUAUCACAAUUAUCAUUCCUGGAAAAAUCAGUAAUAGAAUAGACAGAUGAAUAAGAUGAUUCAAGCUUUUCUAACAGACACAAGUUGAGAUUCAUGACAUAUAGAUUAGCUUGAAUCCUAAAUCCUGGAAUGGAGGUUUAAUGACAUUAGGUGAGGAAAUGCUGUGGCAAACAAUUAUCAAAGAAUCAUAUUAUUUCAAGGGAUUUCCAACCACACUGAUGUCCGAAGAUAUGCACAUGAUGCACUUCCUCCAGUGAGUUAUAUCACAUGAUGAACCAUUCCCCACUGCCCUUUCCUCUUUCUACCAAAGAGGUUAGGCUUUUUGAUCAAAUGAAGAAAAUGAACAUCCCCAAUCUUAAGACUAGCAAGGAAAGCAAUCAUGAGCAGAUUGAUUAAUCAAAUGCUUAAACAUUACAGAAACUUACCUUUCUCCAUUGAUGCCCCAGGAACGUUGACACGGAAAUGGUAUGAAUCCUCCGAUUCACUGAUGUUCCUUAACCCUCUAAGUGGUCCAAUUGAGCCUGUUGCAGCAGCCCCAGUGAGUGCAACUCCAUAUUUGGUAUGAGCCAUCAUAUUAUCCAACUCCUCCCUGGUUGAUUGGGAAGGCAGAAAUAUCAUAGCUGGACCGAUUCUUUCUGAAGCCUCAGUCUGCUCUCUGGUUGGUGAGGAAAAUGUAUCACCUGGGCUUGGUGGACCAAUGUAAUGCACACAACUGAGAGGAGGCACAUCAAGAACUGGUUGCUGGGGAUUCAUGCGAUUAGGUUCAUUAUUUUCACCUUCUGUCCUGUCAGACCUGCCAGAAGAUAUGUGGACUGUCAAAUUUGCACAUGAACACUACCUGAAGCCCUAGGAAACUUAAACUACCUCAGCAAUACAUUGCCUCCCACCGGUAUCUUACGUUGUAGAGUUUUUUCAAAACAUCAGUAAUAAAACUUUGCUUGUUUAAUAAUCCAUUGGAAGAACAGGUAGAAAAUCUUAUGAAAACAAAACAUGGAGAAACACAUACCAAAUAAACUGUAGUUUAAAUACCUAGAUAUCAUUUAUUUAAUUCAUCUUUUCUCCUCAGUCAUAAAAAUCAAACCUUAAGAAAACAUAGAUUGUAGCUAAUUGCAGAGUUUUGCACCACAAGAACAAUUUAGUUUUUGUAGAACUGUGACACAAAAUUCCAAAACUACUAACAUAAAUAAAUGGAGAACUAAUGUAACUAGACAUUGGCAUGCAUCAAAUCACCAACAACAUAAUUGAAACCAAAAACUAUUACAUCUCAAGUAGUUUUGCUCAAACCUUAGAACCCCAUCAUUGAGAUUAAGGGCUCUCAAUCUUUCUGAUAAAUCAUCCCCAUCUUCUCCGCUACUCACAAUCUGAGAGUUCAUUGCUAAGAAAGUAUGAUUUCCCUAAUCUAUAUUACACAAUUGUAAAAGAUGUAGGUUAUGGCUGAAAUUUACAACCGCGCCUUAUAUAAUGUUCAUCAGAGUAAUCCAAGUCAACUCUCCAGCUGCCCCAUUUAUUAUUUCCCUUUUAAAUUAUUAAUAUGUCCUUCGCAGCCUUCCAUAUUUUUUUCCUUUUACUGCAAAUUUUUAUGUUUCCAACAGAUUCCUUACUUAAUAGCAUAAAGAAACUUCCAAGUAAUAAAGCUGAAUUGUUGCUCUCAUCCAAAUAGGAAGAUACGCGCAUCACACGCGUGUUAUACAUACAUGAAACAUGGUGAAUGAUGAGAGUCGAGUUUGUAAGUUUUAGAUCAAGACACAUCUAUUAAUCAGUGCAUAUUACACAUGUCCACAUUCAGACAAGUCCAGUCAUCUCUGGGUUCCGUACGUGGAGGACACGCGCAUAACAUGCACGUACUUCUGAUUUACAAGAAAUCAACUUGUCAGCUUUCUUUUGGAAAGCUGACUUAUGCUACCAUUAGAUAAGCUUUCUUUUGGAAAACUUCUGAUUUUCAAGGAACUCUUCAAACCACACAAUCAAUGCUUCACACCCUCAUUCUAAGAAACUCUGACUAUUAUGCAUUAGAAGUUUAAUUUUGGAGAAAUGAUAAGGUACAGAUAGUAAUCCAGAAAGAAAAAAUAGCAAAUGAGGGCAACUAAGAAUAUUUCUUUAGACAACAUGGUGUAGAGUGAUCGAAAUUUGGUUGUGUUGGACCUAGAUAUAUCAAUUCAUUAGUGCUAAUUCAAAGAUGAUUAAACCCAAUUAGAUGCAUUGAUGCGUUGUAAUCCAUGUCCAUAAGAUAAUUCCUCAGAUGCUUGUCUAUGUAUUUCACAGAGAGAUCAGGACAAGCCCCAGGCACAAAAAGGAUGAUCCCUGAAUAAAUUUAAGAGCAAUAACAUUUUGUGGGCAUCCUUUACUAAUGGAAUCUCCGAAACUUGCUCCAAAUAUAAAGAUUUAUAAUAACAAAUUUUUAUUGUAAAAAUUGAAACAUCUAGUUUAGUAAGUCCUUCGACCUAGAUCCUAUUUCUCACAUAACUUAUAUCACAAGAAAACUCUUCGCUUUCAACCCAAAAGAACCGUGUCACACACUUCAUGACACCUUAGAUCCAUAUGGUAUGGCUCUUCAACCAUCUAACCCCGAUAGAAAAGAUUCCAAAAAAUUUUACAUACAUGUAUUGGAUUUGGCCAUCUGUAUCCUAGUUAAUGUUGUGCAGCAUAUGACCAUCACGAUAGGUAAUAUUAGUUCUUUUACCUCAGAUAUCCUGUUUUGGAUCUGUUUCUGUGACUGCAUGUCCUCCUUUUGAUUUGCAAUACAUUGCUCAGAGAGAAAAAUAUACUUCUAAGCAAAUCCUUUUCUGUAAUCUUUCCUUUGUUCUUCAAUUACUUCAAAAUUUUAUUUAAUAUAUCAAAUUUAUCACAUAAUCUUUCACACUUGGAUUGAUGAUAAUUGUACUACCUACUUUAUUGAUUAUAGAUGUUUAAUUUAACUCUUUGAUGAAUCCAAAGAUUUAUCAUGUGUCUUAUAGAAGCACUCUGAACGCAUUGCCUAGCAUCCAUGUGAUGACCCAUACAACUAUGAUCUCACGAAUAAAACGUUGGGUUGGUGCAUAGGUAUAAAGACACUAGGUUUUUCUGUGUUGUUUUAGUCAUUCUUAGCAGGAAAUUUUGAGUUCUAGUUAAUGCAGAAACAGCUUUCAUAGCUGAUUUAGUGUUGGGAACAAAGAAGUAUCAAUCUUUUGGGAAUGAGGAGAAGCUGGCCGGUUUCCACUUGGCAAGGACAAGUUAAUAAACAUUACCCUUAAUUUUCCUAAACAAGAGAAUCAAUAUUUUCAGAGAAAAGCUCUAAUAGCCAUUAUCUAAAUUCCGAAAAUAGGAGAAAAGUUAUCCCAUAAACCCUAGGAAGACCCUUAACAUGGAUUGGCUCUUGGCAAUGGAAUCCAAACUCCCCCUAAAAGCAAAGAAAGAUGAAGAUAGCAUUUCCUCCUAAUUCAAUCUCCAACUACAUUCUUUUACCUUUGUUUUUCUUAUCAUUGAAAAGUUUGUAAACAGCAAUCCUAAAAAUAAAAAUCCUUCCUUUCUGCACCUAACAGAUGAUAAACACUUUAACCAUGAAAGCUUAAUUCUUUGCCAGAAAAAAUUAAAAACCAAGAUGGUAUCGAGCAUAUCAUGAAGCACACAAACAUCAAACAAUCCAUCAUCAUCAGGAUCAAUGUUCAAGAUUACAUCCCAAGCCCAGAAAGAACAUGUCAUAAACUUAUACAUUUGAAAAUUUGCAAAACUGGGAAUUCAAAGCUGAAACUUUUCCGCUUACACCACUGCACAUUACGAACAUGCAUCAUUAGAUACAUACAUAACAUGCUUGAGAAUAUGUAAAAAGAGAUGUAUGGCCAUCUGGGUAUCUUUACCUCAUUGGAGAAGCCAUUGAAAGAGUCACCUGAUAUGAGCAAGACUGAUAGUUUUCCAGUAAGUUUUCAACAUGAUUUCCAUUGUGAAAGAAUCUAUAGUCAUUUAAUUUUCCUCCUCUGGCGAAUGGUUUUUGCCAAAAUAGGGAGGGUCAGACAGAGUGGAACUGCGUUGGAAGUGAUUGGGUGCAGGAGCACCGUGCUCUUACCUUAAUUUUGUGUUUUUUUUGUUUGGGUUUUUUGUAUUUUCUCUUCUCAGUACAAUCACUCCACAUAUAAUUAAUUUUAAAAAAUAUUCACUGUUCAUAAAUAAGAUUAAUAUAAUCUUUUGAUGAUAUUAAUUUAAUCGUAAAAUCCUCUAUGUUCUACCAUUAUUAUAGGCAGAUAUACUUACCAUUUGUAAUUGAUUUUCCAAAGCUGGUGGUACAAAUUCAUUAGAUUUUUUUGGAAGGUUGCUUACCUUAUCUUUUGACACAAAAGAUAUCUAAAUAUGGCUUAACAGAUUUAAAUGUUUGUGUUUGUGGAUGAGUAAUAGCAAUCCAGACAAAUUCCUGAAUGUUUCUGUUGUAAAUAUACUUCAAAUUCCCAAAGAGCGCCUAGGACAAGUUAGAACUCUUCCAUGAAAAGUUAAGAACUCUUCCAUGAAAAGUUAAGAACUGGAUUUGACUGAUAUCUGUUCUCACUGGUCUGCCUGUCUGGUGCUGGGGUGCAUGAAGCCAUAGCUUUAGACAAUAUCAGCAUUUUCUCACUCCUUAAUUCACUUCAAAAGAGCAGAAACAUUUACAACCUCAUUUUUCAACUUUACUAGCUCCAGUCUCACAUUACCCUUCACUGGCCAGCGUCUCAUAUUCUAUCUCCCACUGAUCAAACGCAAUAUUGCAGAAUGUAUAAUGUAGCUGGUAAUUUCGUGUUAUACAUAAUGUUGUGUAAAAAGAGUAAAUUUCCAGUGUUUGCCCUAUGACAAGCUCCUAUUUUCAAGGUAGUUUUAGAGGAAGGUUGCAGUAGACCCGGCAAAACAGCUCUGUCAGACGCUUUGGGUCGAGAAAGUUGAUGCCACUUUUUGUUUAUGUUCGGGACUAUUGCUUUUUAUGCCCCUUGAUUUUUCAUUGCAUUGUAUGCAAGUCCUAAGCUCUUUGAUUGGAAGAAUCAGUCAUCCAACUGAUUGAAUUGGAUCUCCGGGUCAUUUUGUCUGGUUAUGGUAACAUAUAUAUUGUGCAAAAUAGUAAGAUGAUAUGAAGGGGAAGAGUUAUUAGUCCAAUUUGAUAUAUCCAGAAAGACACAAUAGUUCAAUUGAAGUUUAUGAAUAUAUCUGGAAUUGGAGUUUGGAAAUGGCAUUAUUAAGAGAAAGUCCACCAUUCUUGCAUGAUGGUGUGAUUCUUCCUGUUUCAAGUGGAAAUGUUCAACAGGCUGCUUAGGAUUGAUACUAUGGGACUUGGGAUGAAUACUCAAUGAGGUCUCUAAUGAGUGAUACCACAGCCAAAUAUUCAAUUAAAAAGGAAAAAAACAAAGAUAAGGAAAGGCUGGAGAUAGCAAUUUAUUGAUUCCAAAUGAAAGUUUUAAACACCAAGUUCAUAUGAUGAUCUCCACAUUUUCUAGACUGACGCUUAAAGCCUAUAAGUAUAAGACACGUAAUGCUAAGAUGGAGGAAGGGGAAGAAAAGUCAUUCCCAGGGCUCCCCCUGCUCACCCUUUCUCCUAGGCAUUCUCAAUCACUUCUUCUUCACAAUGGCUUCAAAAAUUCCAUCAGCCAAACGACUAACAACUUCUUGGGGAUUGACAGGACCUGGUAGCUGGAAUGAGAUGGUGAAGGGUCCCAGCGGGCCUAGAUUUUGUGUCAGCAUAUCG